CGGCGGACGGGUGAGUAACACGUGGAUAACCUACCUAUAAGACUGGGAUAACUUCGGGAAACCGGAGCUAAUACCGGAUAAUAUAUUGAACCGCAUGGUUCAAUAGUGAAAGACGGUUUUGCUGUCACUUAUAGAUGGAUCCGCGCCGCAUUAGCUAGUUGGUAAGGUAACGGCUUACCAAGGCAACGAUGCGUAGCCGACCUGAGAGGGUGAUCGGCCACACUGGGACUGAGAUACGGCCCAG
rnacentral:rRNA from 1 species